GUGAACUGUGAAACGGCCUCGGGCGGGGUUAGAGGGCAGUGUAGGGAUGAAUGAGUAGUGUAUGUUUUUAACCUGCAAUAUCAUUUUGGAGUGUUCUCAGCACCUGAUUCAUCAGUCAGUGUUCCUGCAGUACAGGCAAGUGGAGAUCCCAUCCCCACUCCUCCUCUGUCCAGCACUCUGCUCUGUAGGGACCUGCUCUCGCCACGCCCAGCAGAUCUGUGUAUAUAUUAAGGCUCAUGUAAUGUGAACACCAGUGGAAAAUAAACAACACAGGCAAAAUUAAUUUAUUAAGUUAUGGCUGACGGCUUGCCUGGAGCUGGCGGCCACAGGGCUUCGGCGAUGGGUGUUGCCUGUGAGUUAACAUGCCAGUGGAUGUGAAUCCUUUUCGUUGUUGUUGUUGUUUUUUUUUAUUUUGAACAGUAUUACAGCCAGUAGUUAGCGUUCUUUUUGUUUAAAUAGCGGAAAAACUGACAUUACAGAAAGUGCCUUAGACACUACAGUACUAAGACAAUGUUACAUAUAUAAUUUGCCUAUAUAACAAUGAUUUAAUGUAUUAAUUUUGACUGUGCUUCAUAUCAUGUACCUCUCUAGUCCAAGUGGUAUUAUUGAUAUUAGUGACAAUGAAUCAGUGUUAACUAGGAAACUUCCUCUGCCACAUGCUCAAAAAAACCAUGGAUUUCCUUUUUUUUGGGUUAAAAGCUUUAACAUCUGUCGCAAAGGUUUUGUUGUGUGUUUGGAUAUUUUUACUCAAACUGGCUGUUGACCACCAGGCAUCUGACUGCAAAUAUCUUGUUUUCUUGUAUACCCAUAUUUCUAGACAAUGAUUUUUGUAAGACAAUAAAUUUAUUCAUUAUAGAUGCGGCCGCCUGCUCUGUUUACUUACAGGAAGAGCGAUCUCCUGAGGCUGGCAUAGACCUUAAUAAAUGAGAAUAUGACUGGAA